rnacentral:tRNA from 1 species
CGAGACGUGUCCGAGAUGGCUGAAGGAGGCGGUCUGUAAAACCGUUGAUGUAAUGUCCACGAUAGUUCGAAUCUAUCCGUCUCGA